rnacentral:rRNA from 1 species
UACGUAGGGGGCGAGCGUUGUCCGGAUUUAUUGGGCGUAAAGAGCUCGUAGGCGGUUCGUUAAGUCGGACGUGAAAUCUCCACGCUCAACGUGGAGGGGCCGUUCGAUACUGUCGUGACUCGAGUCCGGUAGGGGAGUGUGGAAUUCCCGGUGUAGCGGUGAAAUGCGCAGAGAUCGGGAGGAACACCCGUAGCGAAGGCGGCACUCUGGGCCGGUACUGACGCUGAGGAGCGAAAGCGUGGGGAGCAAACAGG